AUUGAACGCUGGCGGUAGGCUUAACACAUGCAAGUCGAACGGUAGCAGCUCUAGCUUGCUAGAGGCUGACGAGUGGCGGACGGGUGAGUAACGCGUAGGAAUCUACCUAAUAGUGGGGGACAACCGUGGUGAAAAACCNGGCUAAUACCGCAUACGCCCUACGGGGGAAAGCGGGGGAUCUUCGGACCUCGCGCUAUUAGAUGAGCCUGCGUUAGAUUAGCUAGUUGGUGGGGUAAAGGCUCACCAAGGCGACGAUCUAUAGCUGGUCUGAGAGGAUGAUCAGCCACACUGGGACUGAGACACGGCCCAGACUCCUACGGGAGGCAGCAGU
rnacentral:rRNA from 1 species